UACGUAGGGGGCAAGCGUUGUCCGGAAUUAUUGGGCGUAAAGAGCUCGUAGGCGGUCUGUCGCGUCGGCUGUGAAAACCCGGGGCUCAACUCCGGAUCUGCGGUGGGUACGGGCAGACUAGAGUGAUGUAGGGGAGACUGGAAUUCCUGGUGUAGCGGUGAAAUGCGCAGAUAUCAGGAGGAACACCGAUGGCGAAGGCAGGUCUCUGGGCAUUAACUGACGCUGAGGAGCGAAAGCAUGGGGAGCGAACAGG
rnacentral:rRNA from 1 species